rnacentral:lncRNA from 1 species
UCACGGUAUUAAAGCUCAAUAAAUGAUAAAAUGGUAUUUCAUGAAUUGUGUAUAAUUAAUUAAGGUUGCUAAUGGAGCCUGAAUCUGAUGUAUUUUUCGGUCAGUUGUUGUUUGAUAUAUUUUACAUUUUUAAAUGCAGUAUGGUAUCUGAUGUGUUUAUUUUAUAGUUUCGUAUGCAUGAAUCACAGUUUCGUUUAUUAUGGUUUGAAUUAUUGUGAACCCGU